rnacentral:rRNA from 1 species
UCCGGGAAACCGGGGCUAAUACCGGAUGGUUGUUUGAACCGCAUGGUUCAAACAUAAAAGGUGGCUUCGGCUACCACUUACAGAUGGACCCGCGGCGCAUUAGCUAGUUGGUGAGGUAACGGCUCACCAAGGCAACGAUGCGUAGCCGACCUGAGAGGGUGAUCGGCCACACUGGGACUGAGACACGGCCCAGACUCCUACGGGAGGCAGCAGUAGGGAAUCUUCCGCAAUGGACGAAAGUCUGACGGAGCAACGCCGCGUGAGUGAUGAAGGUUUUCGGAUCGUAAAGCUCUGUUGUUAGGGAAGAACAAGUACCGUUCGAAUAGGGCGGUACCUUGACGGUACCUAACCAGAAAGCCACGGCUAACUACGUGCCAGCAGCCGCGGUAAUACG